rnacentral:rRNA from 1 species
CCUACGGGAGGCAGCAGUGAGGAAUAUUGGUCAAUGGGCGCUAGCCUGAACCAGCCAAGUAGCGUGAAGGAUGACUGCCCUAUGGGUUGUAAACUGCUUUUAUAUGGGAAUAAAGUGCAGUAUGUAUACUGCUUUGCAUGUACCUUAUGAAUAAGGAUCGGCUAACUCCGUGCCAGCAGCCGCGGUAAUACGGAGGAUCCGAGCGUUAUCCGGAUUUAUUGGGUUUAAAGGGAGCGUAGGCGGGAUGUUAAGUCUGUUGUGAAAUGUUGGGGCUCAACCGUGAAAUUGCAGUUGGAACUGGCGUGCUUGAGUACAGUAGAGGUAGGCGGAAUUCGUCGUGUAGCGGUGAAAUGCUUAGAUAUGACGAAGAACCCCGAUUGCGAAGGCAGCUUGCUGGAGUGGAACUGACGCUGAUGCUCGAAAGCGUGGGUAUCAAACAGGAUUAGAUACCCUUGUAGUC